GGCCGCCUGGCGAAAUGGCAUCGCGUCUGACUACGAUUAUGUUCAUAUCAGGAGAUUGCAGGUUCGACCCCUGCGGUGGUCA